rnacentral:rRNA from 1 species
UGGGGAAUUUUGGACAAUGGGCGAAAGCCUGAUCCAGCAAUGCCGCGUGUGUGAAGAAGGCCUUCGGGUUGUAAAGCACUUUUGUCCGGAAAGAAAUCCUUGGCUCUAAUACAGUCGGGGGAUGACGGUACCGGAAGAAUAAGCACCGGCUAACUACGUGCCAGCAGCCGCGGUAAUACGUAGGGUGCAAGCGUUAAUCGGAAUUACUGGGCGUAAAGCGUGCGCAGGCGGUUUGCUAAGACCGAUGUGAAAUCCCCGGGCUCAACCUGGGAACUGCAUUGGUGACUGGCAGGCUAGAGUAUGGCAGAGGGGGGUAGAAUUCCACGUGUAGCAGUGAAGUGCGUAGAGAUGUGGAGGAAUACCGAUGGCGAAGGCAGCCCCCUGGGCCAAUACUGACGCUCAUGCACGAAAGCGUGGGGAGCAAACAGGAUUAGAUACCCUGGUAGUCCACGCCCUAAACGAUGUCAACUAGUUGUUGGGGAUUCAUUUCCUUAGUAACGUAGCUAACGCGUGAAGUUGACCGCCUGGGGAGUACGGUCG